GACGAACGCUGGCGGCGUGCUUAACACAUGCAAGUCGAACGGAAAGGCCCUGCUUGCAGGGUACUCGAGUGGCGAACGGGUGAGUAACACGUGGGUGAUCUGCCCUGCACUUCGGGAUAAGCUUGGGAAACUGGGUCUAAUACCGGAUAGGAACCAUCUUUAGUGUGGUGGUUGGAAAGUUUUUUCGGUGUAGGAUGAGCUCGCGGCCUAUCAGCUUGUUGGUGGGGUAAUGGCCUACCAAGGCGGCGACGGGUAGCCGGCCUGAGAGGGUGUACGGCCACAUUGGGACUGAGAUACGGCCCAGACUCCUACGGGAGGCAGCAGUGGGGAAUAUUGCACAAUGGGCGCAAGCCUGAUGCAGCGACGCCGCGUGGGGGAUGAAGGCCUUCGGGUUGUAAGCUCCUUUCGCUAGGGACGAAGCUUUGUUGUGACGGUACCUAGAUAAGAAGCACCGGCUAACUACGUG
rnacentral:rRNA from 1 species